AUUGAACGCUGGCGGCAGGCUUAACACAUGCAAGUCGAGCGGUAGCACAGGGGAGCUUGCUCCCUGGGUGACGAGCGGCGGACGGGUGAGUAAUGUCUGGGAAACUGCCUGAUGGAGGGGGAUAACUACUGGAAACGGUAGCUAAUACCGCAUAACGUCGCAAGACCAAAGAGGGGGACCUUCGGGCCUCUUGCCAUCAGAUGUGCCCAGAUGGGAUUAGCUAGUAGGUGGGGUAAUGGCUCACCUAGGCGACGAUCCCUAGCUGGUCUGAGAGGAUGACCAGCCACACUGGAACUGAGACACGGUCCAGACUCCUACGGGAGGCAACAGUGGGGAAUAUUGCACAAUGGGCGCAAGCCUGAUGCAGCCAUGCCGCGUGUGUGAAGAAGGCCUUCGGGUUGUAAAGCACUUUCAGCGAGGAGGAAGGUGGUGAGCUUAAUACGUUCAUCAAUUGACGUUACUCGCAGAAGAAGCACCGGCUAACUCCGUG
rnacentral:rRNA from 1 species